GACGAACGCUGGCGGCGUGCUUAACACAUGCAAGUCGAGCGGAAAGGCCCUUCGGGGUACUCGAGCGGCGAACGGGUGAGUAACACGUGAGUAACCUGCCCCAGACUUUGGGAUAACCCUCGGAAACGGGGGCUAAUACCGGAUACGACACAGCUUCGCAUGGGGUCUGUGUGGAAAGUUUUUCGGUUUGGGAUGGGCUCGCGGCCUAUCAGCUUGUUGGUGGGGUGAUGGCCUACCAAGGCGACGACGGGUAGCCGGCCUGAGAGGGCGACCGGCCACACUGGGACUGAGACACGGCCCAGACUCCUACGGGAGGCAGCAGUGGGGAAUAUUGCACAAUGGGCGGAAGCCUGAUGCAGCGAUGCCGCGUGAGGGAUGACGGCCUUCGGGUUGUAAACCUCUCUCAGCAGGAACGAAGCGUAAGUGACGGUACCUGCAGAAGAAGCGCCGGCCAACUACGUG
rnacentral:rRNA from 1 species